rnacentral:tRNA from 1 species
UGUAUUUUAGUGUAUGUUGAAUAAAAGUUUUUGAUACUUUAGGAAAUAGUUUAAUUCUAUUAAGUACAG